rnacentral:rRNA from 1 species
GACGAACGCUGGCGGCGUGCCUAAUACAUGCAAGUCGAGCGGACGAAUCGAAAGCUUGCUUUUGAUUCGUUAGCGGCGGACGGGUGAGUAACACGUGGGCAACCUGCCCUGUAGACGGGGAUAACACCGAGAAAUCGGUGCUAAUACCGGAUAACACGAAAUGUCGCAUGACGUUUCGUUGAAAGACGGCGCAAGCUGUCGCUACAGGAUGGGCCCGCGGCGCAUGAGCUAGUUGGUGAGGUAACGGCUCACCAAGGCGACGAUGCGUAGCCGACCUGAGAGGGUGAUCGGCCACACUGGAACUGAGACACGGCCCAGACUCCUACGGGAGGCAGCAGUAGGGAAUCUUCCGCAAUGGACGAAAGUCUGACGGAGCAACGCCGCGUGAGCGAAGAAGGCCUUCGGGUCGUAAAGCUCUGUUGUUAGGGAAGAACAAGUAACGCAGUAACUGGCGUUACCGUGACGGUACCUAACGAGAAAGCCAUGGCUAACUACGUG